rnacentral:rRNA from 1 species
AUUGAACGCUGGCGGCAUGCCUUACACAUGCAAGUCGAACGGUAACAGGUCUUCGGAUGCUGACGAGUGGCGAACGGGUGAGUAAUACAUCGGAACGUGCCUAGUAGUGGGGGAUAACUACUCGAAGGAGUGGCUAAUACCGCAUGAGAUCUACGGAUGAAAGCAGGGGAUCGCAAGACCUUGUGCUACUAGAGCGGCCGAUGGCAGAUUAGGUAGUUGGUGGGAUAAAAGCUUACCAAGCCGACGAUCUGUAGCUGGUCUGAGAGGACGAGCAGCCACACUGGGACUGAGACACGGCCCAGACUCCUACGGGAGGCGGCAGUGGGGAAUUUUGGACAAUGGGCGCAAGCCUGAUCCAGCAAUGCCGCGUGCAGGAUGAAGGCUUUCGGGUUGUAAACUGCUUUUGUACGGAACGAAAAACCCUGGGUUAAUACCCUGGGGUCAUGACGGUACCGUAAGAAUAAGCACCGGCUAACUACGUGCCAGCCGCCGCAGUAAUAC